rnacentral:lncRNA from 1 species
AUGGCGGGUCACAGUGACCCACCAGCCGAGUGGGCGAGAAAACUUCGCCGCCGAGACAGUUUCCCGAGUUCAUUGUCAGUAGUGCAAAUCUCACUCAGUGAUGCAUUUGAAGGUCCUUUUCGCGUUGGUGAUUUUGUUUGCCGUUAGGUUCCGGGCGGCGGCGACCUCCUCGAGCGACGAGCGGACGAGAGAGCGGCAGAACGGAUUCAAAGGGAAGAACUACCCUCUGGGGGCGCCCAAUUCCAACUCGCGGAAGCUCCAACGCGAGGAGUCGACCAGCGGAGAGAGCGAGGAGAACGAGAAAGACACCCGUGACCGGGCCCAACUCCCGGCCCCUGCUCACUCGCACAGGGGUCACCGACACCCCCUGGGGCCCGCCGGCGCUGGGGGAGGUGUAGGAGGAGGCGGAGGGGGUGGCGCCCCUUUCUCCCAGUAUAGCUACGGAUACUCGAUCCCCGACCAUGAGUUCGACCACAACCAGAAUCAAGGCCGGUACCAUAAUGAGGGUUCGCAAAACUACCAGCGGCCGACCCCACCUCAGCAUUUCUUCCACCACAGCCCUUACGACCGGUUCCAGCAGUACGACUACGACGCGGAGCGAGAGCGGGCGGCCAAGUCGGGACCUGAAGCGCCGCCACCCCCGCGGGCCCACCAACCCCACCACCCCCACCAGGGCCACCAGGGCGUCCCUGCCUUGCGGCACGUGAUCCCGGUGGCGCGGCUGGCGUCGCCGUUCCCGUACCCGCUGGGCUACUCGCCGCCGGUGACGCCCUUCGGGUUCCUCCCCCACUUGGCGCCCCCGAUCACCUACCUGGCCCAGCCAACGCCCGUCAUCUCCCAGUCCGUCCCGGCCGUCGUCGCCUCCGCCACGCACGGCGCCCAGAUCGCCCUCCCCGUCGCCCACGCCGGCGUCGCUGACGUCCCCUACCACGUCACCACCGCCGGGGACGAGACCCAGCUCCAAGCCCACCAACAGUGAGCGUCGUGCGAGGAUAAAACUUCCGGUACACAUUGAGAGAAAUUAGGUUCUUGAUGUAACCGGAGUAGUCAUAUUGAUACAGCUUUCCCGGGUCUGCAAAAGGAAACAUUGCUCAUACUCCGAUAUUUACCUGACUUACAAUGGAGACGUUGCAUGUGUGAGGAAUUUGCGAUUUGACAAUUGAUUCAUAUGUAAAAGUUCGCGAGAAACACGAUGGUGCCACUGGUUUUCUCUGAAAUUAACUCCCAAGCUCAAAAAAAGCUCUCAAGUUGAGGCCAAAAUGGAGGGAAUAUCCCACGUUACCCCGAGAGUCCACCUCUACAUUAAGACAAACUCUCCAUGCAAAGAUAGGGAGCAAAUACAUUGACAGGGCUGCCACUUUAUUUGGAGACCUCAAUGUGAAAUCACGGCAACCCUGUCAACGUAUUUGCUCCCUAUCUUUGCAUGGAGAGUUUGUCUUGAUGUAAAGGUGGACUCUCAGGAUAGCGUGGGAUAUCCCCUCCAUUUUGGCUACAACUUG